UACGUAGGUGGCAAGCGUUUGUCCGGAUUUACUGGGCGUAAAGAGCGCGCAGGCGGUCGUUCAAGUCGCGUGUGAAAGCCCCGGCUCAACUGGGAGGGUCACGCGAUACUGAUCGACUCGAGGCAGGAGAGGGAAGUGGAAUUCCCGGUGUAGUGGUGAAAUGCGUAGAUAUCGGAGGACACAGUGGCGAAGGCGACUUCCUGGCCUGUUCUUGACGCUGAGGCGCGGAAAGCUAGGGGAGCAAAGCGGGG
rnacentral:rRNA from 1 species